GACGUAGGGUGCAAGCGUUGUCCGGAAUUAUUGGGCGUAAAGCGCGUGUAGGCGGCCCGGUAAGUCCGCUGUGAAAGUCCAGGGCUCAACCCUGGGAUGCCGGUGGAUACUGUCGGGCUCGAGUCCGGAAGAGGCGAGUGGAAUUCCUGGUGUAGCGGUGAAAUGCGCAGAUAUCAGGAGGAACACCAAUGGCGAAGGCAGCUCGCUGGGACGUGACUGACGCUGAGACGCGAAAGCGUGGGGAGCAAACAGG
rnacentral:rRNA from 1 species